rnacentral:rRNA from 1 species
UACGUAGGGUGCAAGCGUUGUCCAGAAUUAUUGGGCGUAAUGAGCUCGUAGGCGGUCUGUCGCGUCGGCUGUGAAAACUCGGGGCUCAACUCCGAGCUUGCAGUCGAUACGGGCAGGCUAGAGUUCGGCAGGGGAGACUGGAAUUCCUGGUGUAGCGGUGAAAUGCGCAGAUAUCAGGAGGAACACCGGUGGCGAAGGCGGGUCUCUGGGCCGAUACUGACGCUGAGGAGCGAAAGCGUGGGGAGCGAACAGG